GUGCCAGCAGCCGCGGUAAUACCGGCAGCCCAAGUGAUGGCCGAUCUUAUUGGGCCUAAAGCGUCCGUAGCCGGCCGGACAAGUCCGUUGGGAAAUCCACGCGCUCAACGCGUGGGCGUCCAGCGGAAACUGUCCGGCUUGGGGCCGGAAGACCUGAGGGGUACGUCCGGGGUAGGAGUGAAAUCCUGUAAUCCUGGACGGACCGCCGGUGGCGAAAGCGCCUCAGGAAGACGGACCCGACGGUGAGGGACGAAAGCUAGGGUCUCGAACCGGAUUAGAAACCCCUGUAGUCC
rnacentral:rRNA from 1 species